rnacentral:lncRNA from 1 species
GGGGGUGACUGGGUGACAGGCACUGAGGGGGGCACUUGACGGGAUGAGCACUGGGUGUUAUUCUGUAUGUUGGCAAAUUGAACACCAAUAAAAAAUAAAUUUAUUAUUUAAAACAAAAACUACAGCUACUUAUGAUAAAAAUUAAAUAGUAACUCCAGUGAUCCUGAAAAUGAAGAAUUAGAGAAGACUUAAAAAAAUAAAAUAAAAAAGAGGAAGUCCCGCAUUGCUUCAGGUGAUGCACCUCGGCCUGUUCCCGGAACCUCGGGUCCCAGAACUACUCCUUCCUCUCUCAGGUCUGAGGCUGGUGCAGGCCCGGCGGAGGGGACCGGGGCGCUGGCGGGAGCCCGGGAGCCAGGAGCGCAUGCGCCGCGAGUGGGCGGUUCCCUUGUCCCCCGCGGCUCCUUCAGCGCCUGCGCCGCCCGCACCGCAGGCUGCCGUCCUCUGGCGCAGAGUUCAGAUCACUGUUGAGUCCAGGUUCAGCAAAAACAGCCAGGCCAACAAGUUAGAAGCACUCCCAGCUGCUUGAGCUUGCACAUUGAAUUCAGUCACUGGUUAAUGCAUUGCAUCCUUCAAGGUAAAAUGCCUUUCACAUGUCCUGAGACAUAAUGAAGAAUGAAGAUGGAUACAAUUUAGCAAUCAAUUAUGAUUAGCAGAUUAUAGCAGACCAAUUUUAUUUUCUUCCUUAUGAAGAAAGAAAAACAAUAGUCUGAGAUCAUUAUUUAUUCAAACAUAACUCUUGAAUUCUGUCCACCAUAAAAUUUCACUGAUGAACUACUAACCAGAGCUCUUUAAGAUAGGGGCCAUUAUGCAUUAUUACUCUCUAAUCCAUAUUAUCUGAUACGGAUUUUAUAACAUACCCUAGAUUUCUACUGAACACCACAUGGAUGUGGCUCAUUUUUCUCUAAAAAUUAAAUUUUAGAGAAUUAAAUCAACUGUGUUGUCAUCUAUUGAAAUUUACUUAACAUUCUGUGCAUUCCAGUUUACCCAGUUCCAUCGUAAGUGAACUGUUGAAAAACAAAUAUGCUAUCUACCCUAAUAGCAAUAAAAUUUACUAAGUGCACUUAGGAGAAUUCCCC